rnacentral:rRNA from 1 species
AGGCUCGAUCAUUAACUGGUGUGAGAGCACGAUCAGUCACACUGGAACUGAGACACGGUCCAGACUCCUACGGGAGGCAGCAGUGAGGAAUUUUGGACAAUGGGGGAAACCCUGAUCCAGCGACGCCGCGUGUGGGAUGAAUGGGUUAUGCCCUGUAAACCACUGUCAGCAGAGAAGAAAAGGCUCUUAUGGAGCCCGGGACUGUAUCUGCAGAGGAAG